rnacentral:rRNA from 1 species
CUUCAUUAGCUUGCUUUUAGAAGACUACGGCGGAGGGUGAGUAACACGUGGGCAACCUGCCUGUAAGACUGGGAUAACUUCGGGAAACCGGAGCUAAUACCGGAUAAUCCUUUCCCUCUCAUGAGGGAAAGCUGAAAGACGGUUUCGCGCUGUCACUUACAAGAUUGGGCCCCGCGGCGCCAUUAACUUAGUUGUGUGGAGAGUAACGGCUCCACCAAGGGCGACAGAUGUCGUAGACCCACCUGAAAGGGUGUAAUCGGCCAACACUGGGAACUGAAAAACACGGCCCAAAACUCCUAACGGGAGGGCACGCAGAUAGGGAAUUCUUCCGGCAAUGGACGAAAAGUUCUGGACGGGAGACAACGCGCCGCGCGGUGUAAACGCAAUUAAGGGCUUUCGCGGUGUCGCUAAAGUUUCUGUUGUCAGGGGAAAAAACAAGUACCCGGAAGUAACUUGCCGGUACCUUGACGGUACCUUGACCAAAAAGCCACGGGCUUAACUUACGUUGCCACAGCCGGCGGUAAUUACGUUAGGUUGGCAAGCGUUGUCCGGAAUUAUUGGGGCGUAAAGCGCGCCCCAGGGCGGUUCCUUAAUCUGAUUUGAAAGCCCCCGGCUCAACCGGGGAGGGUCAUUGGAAACUGGGGAACUUUAAUGCAAAAAAAGAAAACGGAAUUCCCCUUUAAGGUUAAAUGGCGUAAAAAUUAUGGAGGAAAACCCUGGGGAAG